UACGAAGGGGGCUAGCGUUGCUCGGAAUUACUGGGCGUAAAGGGCGCGUAGGCGGAUAUUUAAGUUGGGGGUGAAAUCCCGGGGCUCAACCUCGGAAUUGCCUUCAAAACUGGAUAUCUUGAGUUCGGGAGAGGUGAGUGGAACUCCGAGUGUAGAGGUGAAAUUCGUAGAUAUUCGGAAGAACACCCGUGGCGAAGGCGGCUCUCGUGGGACGGUACUGACGCUGAGACGCGAAAGCGUGGGGAGGCGAACAGG
rnacentral:rRNA from 1 species